rnacentral:lncRNA from 1 species
UUUAUUUAAAAAAAACUUCACUUAUGACAGAGAAAAAUCGUGAUUACAGACACUAUAUUUUUCUUUCUCAUUUUUAUUAAAAAUGAGAAACAAACGCCUCCUAAAUAACUAUACAAGCCUAUCAGAAAACCAGUCAAAACAUCUUACCCAGCCUAUCUACACCACAACAAUUUAUAUACGUAAAUAAGGGACUCCAAGACGAUCAUAUCGAACAAGGCCACGUGACGGUAGAUGUCAGCACUCAGCACCUAGCUUUGCCAAUGAAUCAGCCACCUAAUUUCCUUGUGAGCAAACAAUAAACAUCCACAGAGUCACACUCCGAUGUUGCUGCCUGGGCAAACACGGAAUAUCCAAACCAGUGAGCAGUUUUUCAUCUUGCUUGGAAAGAAUGUUUACCUUUUGAAUAGAUGAAGAAAUCUGCUGUAGCCAAAAAUUUGAUGGCAAGGAAAACAUCUUCCAUCAAUUCAUACUUCCCUUCCAUGCAAGCCUUCCAUCUCUUUCCAUACAAACGCACACUUCAACAGGCAUGGAAACAGCCCCAAAAGGCACCCCAACUGAGUUGAACGUCGAACACCUUAAAUCUAUCCUCUCCCACCAGCUUUGCCCCUCCCUCCACCUGACAUCCAAAGCAUUAGACACUCUCCUCCAAACCUCAGUUGCAAAAUCUCUCGUCAUGGACUGGGGCAGAGCCAGGAAAUUUGUUCAGUACGAUCAUGGACGGAUCCAGCCCGUCCCCUUCAACCCAAAUGUCCAUUAAAAAAAAAAAAUUUAAGUAAAAAUAUUUUUUUUUAUGUGCAGUAUUUUUUUAUUUUUUUUAUAUGUAUUAGCCCGUGUUGAAUUUUUUCUUGGAUUCGCCACUGAGUGCGGGCAUAAUUUAACCCAUGUUGAACAUUGUGUUUUGAUCAUGAAUUUAAUGAUGAUAAAAUUAUAAAACAAAAUCAUGGGUUUGGGCCUAAAAAUAAAACCCAUGUUUUUAUUCCACCUUCCCUAUUGCUUAAAAAAAAAAAAAAAAAAAAAAAUUUGGGCCUAAAAUUUCAGUGCGGGCAUAUGCCUGCACUUGUCUGAACGUGGCUCUGUCCAUGGUCAUGGCUAACUAAACAACGGUUACAUCUAGACAGUAGACACAACCGAAAUUCCUACCUCUCGGAGCCUUGCAUCAGCACAGACUCCGAUUCAGAGCUUCCCACAUUGCCACUGAAACCUGUUUAGGAAGAAAUUGAUGCCAUACCCAUUUAGUCCAAGACACCUCUGAUGCUCGGAUUCUAAGCACAUCCACAUCCCAACCGCUAUUUGAUGAAAAAAAAGAAGAAAAGAAACCCUGUUUCUGAGGCUUCCAUGUCAAUACAUCUUGGCCAGGUGUAAAAGAAACACAAUUCUGCAUGAUCUCCCCUGCUAACUCAGCACCCACUACCUCUUUAAGUUUCUCUACAUUCCAUCCCGACUCCAAACAAAGAUCAUUUAUUUUCAACCCAUGUUGUUCCACUUGAUCAACUUGAUGACACAAGUAGAUCGAUCAAGAGUUGAUCGAGUCAAGAUUUAUUUAUUGAAGUUAAGUGGAAUUGGAUUCGAUUAGGUACCUUCG